ACCAUAGCUCACAGGAUUCCAACUGUGACAGACAGUGACAGGGUCCUGGUACUGUCCUACGGGAAGCUUCUGGAAUAUGAAACACCAGCCAAACUGUUGGAAGACAAGCAAUCAGCCUUUGCUAAACUUGUGGCUGAGUAUUGGGCUAAUACCAAGCGGAA